GCUGGCGGCAGGCCUAACACAUGCAAGUCGAGCGGUAGAGAGAAGCUUGCUUCUCUUGAGAGCGGCGGACGGGUGAGUAAAGCCUAGGAAUCUGCCUGGUAGUGGGGGAUAACGUUCGGAAACGGACGCUAAUACCGCAUACGUCCUACGGGAGAAAGCAGGGGACCUUCGGGCCUUGCGCUAUCAGAUGAGCCUAGGUCGGAUUAGCCAGUUGGUGAGGUAAUGGCUCACCAAGGCGACGAUCCGUAACUGGUCUGAGAGGAUGAUCAGUCACACUGGAACUGAGACACGGUCCAGACUCCUACGGGAGGCAGCAGUGGGGAAUAUUGGGCAAUGGGCGAAAGCCUGAUCCAGCCAUGCCGCGUGUGUGAAGAAGGUCUUCGGAUUGUAAAGCACUUUAAGUUGGGAGGAAGGGCAUUAACCUAAUACGUUAGUGUUUUGACGUUACCGACAGAAUAAGCACCGGCUAACUCUGUGCCAGCAGCCGCGGUAAUACAGAGGGUGCAAGCGUUAAUCGGAAUUACUGGGCGUAAAGCGCGCGUAGGUGGUUUGUUAAGUUGGAUGUGAAAUCCCCGGGCUCAACCUGGGAACUGCAUUCAAAACUGACUGACUAGAGUAUGGUAGAGGGUGGUGGAAUUUCCUGUGUAGCGGUGAAAUGCGUAGAUAUAGGAAGGAACACCAGUGGCGAAGGCGACCACCUGGACUAAUACUGACACUGAGGUGCGAAAGCGUGGGGAGCAAACAGGAUUAGAUACCCUGGUAGUCACGCGUAACGAUGUCAACUAGC
rnacentral:rRNA from 1 species